AAAACGAAAAACACAUCCAUAAGCAAUUAUAUAUAAGAUCUCUAAAGAGUUUAAGUUAAUUGUGUCCAUUACUUGUUUCUAAAUAUUUCCAAGUUCAAAAGCAAAAAACCAUGGACAAAAAUCAGAAAUUGAGCUACGAUAUUGGCGUAGCUAAGGGCCAAGCCCAGGAAAAAGGUAGUCAAUUGAUGGAGAAGGCUGGGACUGCUGUGCAGUCUGCCAAGGAAACAGUGCAAGAGGUGGGGCAGCAAGUGAAGACCAAAACACUAGUAGCAGCAGAUGCCGUUACAACGCCACCGGCAUGAACAAAUAAACCACGUUAAUUUCUACCAUAUUAUCGUUUAUGAAGAUCUUAGUUUCUUCUAAUUCAAUUGGGUUACCAAUUUAUGUUGCUUAAGUUUGAAUUAUUGGUGAGAACUUCUGCGUUUCUGAAUAAUAUUUUAGAAGCAGCGUCUCUAAUAAUGUUCUGUUCUUAAUUAUAAUUGCAUAUAUAGCGGCACAUGCAGUAGCUAUAUGAUCCAAAUUCACUUGGAUGUACUAGCUUUGCUGUUCUUAUACUUUCGUGUUCUU